rnacentral:tRNA from 1 species
GCGCCUGUAGCUCAGCGGGAUAGAGCGGCGGAUUCCUAAUCCGCAGGUCGGGGGUUCGAGUCCCUCCAGGCGCACCA